ACAGCCCUGCGAUGCUGCGGUGCCUGCGAGGUGAUGCCGCCGUGCUCGUUGCUGCUUCCUGGUAAGGAAAGGCCUCCUCCGCUCCUGCUGCAGCGUGGUGGUGUGUCGGACACGAUUCCCUGUGUCGGGUGAGGCCUAGGGCUGCCGGCGAGGUGGAGGACGGCCUAGAGUCUGGAGCUGCAGAAGAGGCAGGGCGGAGAGGAGGGGAAAGAAGCAUCUGAACGGCUAAAUUGUGCCAGCAGCGCUGAGAGCGAGAGUCGCGAGACCGUGCUGAGGACGUGGUUGUCUGUCCUUCCCCCGGGGAUGCCGUUGACUGCAGCCGUCUCAGGCUUGCGUGGCUUCUCUCUGCCCGGCGUUGCCAUCCUCGCAGCGCGGGGGCGAAAAGGGACACACAGAGCCCUUCCCGGCUGUGGACAGGAGCUGCCUCGGCUGAAGCUGGAGACGCCAACGAAAGGUAAAGCAGAAGAAACUGAAGGCG